GAUGAAGAACGUAGCGAAAUGCGAUAAGUAGUGUGAAUUGCAGAAUUCAGUGAAUCAUCGAAUCUUUGAACGCACAUUGCCCCUCCUGGUAUUCCGGGAGGCAUGCCUGUUCGAGCGUCAUCAAAAACCUCAACCCAUGAUUUAUUGUGAGUUGGUUCUGCAUUGGACUCCUUGUGGGUCCUUUGCGAAAUCCAAUGGCGAAGAGCCACGCAACCAAAGCGUAGUAUAACUAUUUCGUUAUGGAAGCGUGGGUGCCUCUGCCGUAACCCCCAAUUUCUUAGUUUUUGACCUCGGAUCAGGUAGGGAUACCCGCUGAACUUAAGCAUAUCAAUAAGCGGAGGA
rnacentral:misc_RNA from 1 species